GCCACUAGAUGGCACUAGAUGUUCGGAUUAAAGUGCCUUCCUGAGCUCCACGGGCCCAGGGCGAGGGCAGGCAGGGUCUGAAGACAGCUUCUCUCGGCCACCGUCAUUCUCUCUCCCACUUCGCUCUUCACUUCUCAUCCCUUCCUCAUCCCAUUUAAACAUUAGAUUCCUUCCAGCAGCGGUGUUUGCGUGAUUUCAAAGGUAAGGACACAGAAGCCCAGGGAAUAUAAGUAACCUCCCAAAAAUCGCACAGCAGCUUGAGAAAAUCCUGAAGAUGGAUUCUGUUGGAACCAUGUUGGCUUAUCUGUCAUCUCUGGACUAAUCAAUGGGGACAGCAGGAUAAGGUAGUAUGACUGGCUCAAUCUGGAUUAUGUGUG